rnacentral:tRNA from 1 species
GGCCUCGUGGUGAAGUUCAUGUUGAGUUGCAAGCUCAUUGAUGCACAUGAGAGUGUGCCGGGGCCU